rnacentral:rRNA from 1 species
AUUAAAGUUGUUGCAGUUAAAAAGCUCGUAGUUGGACUUGUGUGCGCUGUCCGCGGGUGGCCUGCGCCCAAAAGGGCGUUUCGGUUCGGCCCCGGUGGCGCCUUGAAAUCUGCAGCUGGGGGGACGUUGGCCUUAACUGGUCGGCGACCGCACGCCGGCUGCUCGGUUACUGUGAGAAAAUUAGAGUGUUCAAGGCAGGCAUUGGGUGCAAUUGAAUACAUUAGCAUGGAAUAAUAAAAUAUGGCUCCUGCCGUAUUUUGUUGGUUUUGACUGGUGGGAGUAAUGAUUGAUAGGGACGGUUGGGGGUGCUAGUAUUGAGCGGCCAGAGGUGAAAUUCAUGGAUUCGCUCAAGACUAACUUAUGCGAAAGCAUUCACCAAGGACGUCCUCUUUAAUCAAGAACGAAAGUUGGGGGAUCGAAGACGAUCAGAUACCGUCGUAGUCUCAACCAUAAACUAUGUCGACUUGGGAUCGGCGGUAGUUUUUUCAUUAAGACACUGUCGGGACCACGGGAGAAAUCAAAGUGUCUGGACUCUGGGGGAAGUAUGGUCGCAAGGCUGAAACUUGAAGGAAUUGACGGAAGGGCACCACCAGGAGUGGAGCCUGCGGCUUAAUUUGACCCAACACGGGGAAACUUACCAGGUCCAGAGAUGUAGAGGAUUGACAGAUUGAAGCUCUUUCUUGAUCACUUCGGUGGCGGUGCAUGGCCGUUCUUAGUUGGUGGAGUGAUUUGUCUGGUUAAUUCCGUUAACCAACGAGACCUCAGCCUGCUAGUGUAGUCGGCUGGAUUGCCUUUGGCGAUCCGUGAUUUCGACUUCUUAGAGGGACAAUCGACGCGCAGUCGAUGGAAGUUUGAGGCAAUAACAGGUCUGUGAUGCCCUUAGAUGUUCUGGGCCGCACGCGCGCUACACUGCUGGGCUCAGCGAGUUUUACUUGGCCGAGAGGCCCGGUUAAUCUUGUGAAAUCCCAGCGUGCUUGGGCUCGCCUCCUGCAACUGGAGGCGCCAACGAGGAAUUCCUAGUAGACGCAGGUCAUCAACCUGCAUCGAUUACGUCCCUGCCCUUUGUACACACCGCCCGUCGUUCCAUAAGAGUGAGGCAUCCGGUGAAUUCUCGGGAGAGCCUGGGCGUGGCCAGCAAUGGUCUGCUCGGGUUUGAACUUGCAUAAACUUGGUGCCUAUGAUUAGGGAGAAGUCGUAACAAGGUUUCCGUAGGUGCCUGCGGAAG